rnacentral:rRNA from 1 species
CUGACGCUGAGACACGAAAGCGUGGGUAGCAAACAGGAUUAGAUACCCUGGUAGUCCACGCCCUAAACGAUGCAUAUUUGGUGUGGGUCAUUCAGUUGAUCCGUGCCGGAGCUAACGCGUUAAAUAUGCCGCCUGGGGAGUACAGUCGCAAGGCUGAAACUCAAAGGAAUUGACGGGGGCCCGCACAAGCGGUGGAGCAUGUGGUUCAAUUCGACGCAACGCGAAGAACCUUACCUGGGCUCGAACGGCUUCUCAACGUCGGUAGAAAUACUGAUACCCCGCAAGGGGGUGGAGUCGAGGUGCUGCAUGGCUGUCGUCAGCUCGUGUCGUGAGAUGUUGGGUUAAGUCCCGCAACGAGCGCAACCCUUGUCCUGUGUUGCCAUCAUUCAGUUGGGAACUCGCAGGAGACCGCCAGCGAUAAGCUGGAGGAAGGUGGGGAUGACGUCAAGUCCUCAUGGCCUUUAUGUCCAGGGCUACACACGUGCUACAAUGGACGGUACAAACCGCAGCAAACCCGCGAGGGGGAGCCAAUCGGAAAAAACCGUUCUCAGUUCGGAUUGCAGGCUGCAACUCGCCUGCAUGAAGCUGGAAUCGCUAGUAAUGGCAGAUCAGCACGCUGCCGUGAAUACGUUCCCGGGCCUUGUACACACCGCCCGUCACAUCACGAAAGUGGAUUGUACUAGAAGUCUGCAGGCUGACCNGCAAG